AAGCCAUUAGGGUUUAUAACAGAUUCUUGACUCUUGAUUCCAUGAUAAGGUAAGGUUUAGGAAAUGACAUUUAAAUUACUUUGAAACUCUGAAGCGAUUAUACAGUAAUAUAUGUAAAAUAUAUUGAAUUAUUUAUGCACUUAGGUGAAAAUUGUUUAUAUUUCUUUGAUUGAUGCACAUUGAGACAUGCACCAAUAAACCAAGAAUAAUUCCUUUUUGUAAAACUUACUUGGCAAUAAAUAUCUUUCUGAUUCUGAUUAGGUUUAAAAAUAGAUAUUUAAUACAGGGUAUGAAAAAUUUAGCAGAAUAAAUUGAUGAAGUUAGACUUUUCACCAAUGCCUGACUAUCAGUGAACAGUGAAAGACAUCUGUCCCCGUUUUGACGUGAAGGAUAAACUCAAUGAAAAAGCUUUCUCCCCUGGUUUCACAGUUGCGCAGAAAUUUCGUUUGUCUGUAAUUUUUUCCAACCUCGAUUUUUUUUUUUUUUUUUUUUUUUGUUGUUAUUUUACCUUUUACAGGUAAGGGAUUCAUUUGCAAUUACGACCUGUACUAAUGUUUAAGAAAGUGUGAAAGUCCCUGUAAAGGCAAUAAAAAUUAAAUAAUCCAAACACACUAUACAUGGUAAAAAUGUAUUGCUAAAACACAUUGCACUGUGGACUGUGAAGUACUGAAUUGUGUAGUUAAACCGUUAAACAGUUUUGCACCAGUGCUGUGUUCAGGAUUCUUUUGGGCGGGGCUAAAACGGUGGCUCGAUGACGCACUGGACCCACCGAGGCAGGCCCCUCCCGUAACAAUAUGACUAGAGCACAUUCGGUUCAGUUUGCCAUUCAUGAUCAAUCAGAAUAAUUUCACAAUGCAAGGUUUAUUAGGGAAAACAUCUAGUAACAUUUAUCACUUUGUUAUUAAGUAUCUGAGAGACAUAGACUUAGACAAAAGGAUUUAAUUUUUUUUUUUUUUUUUUUUUUUUUAAGCUAAGUUCCAAUAUCUCUUGAUUCACACUCCAGCCCAGUCGGUGGCGGUAAUGCACCGUUAAGUUGGUUUGCCAACCGCCAUAAAAACAAAAAAAAAAAAAAAGAAAGAAGAAGAAAGAAGAAGAAGUUUGCCAUUCAAUCACGAGUUACAGUCAGACUCAGUACUAGUUUCAACAGCCUACAGUUAGCAAAGUCAUCGACUACCAUCGUUUAACUUCGGUUUUUGGCAAUCAAGUGUGGGAGGGACCUCAAGACAACUGUGUGGCGAAUGCUUCAGAGUAUCUUCUCUAAUCGCCUUUCCAUUAACACAACCUGGACUGGUGCAGGGGAAAAAGCAUGUUUUAGAGACAUGUUCCUGAAGACCAUUGUUCAAAGAGCCAUCCGGAAGAACU